rfam:Xenopus laevis strain J chromosome 2S, whole genome shotgun sequence.
UGUAGGGUGUCAAUGAAACCGUUACCAUUACUGAGUUUAGUAAUGGUAAGGGUUCUGUUGCUGCUCUUCCA